rnacentral:sRNA from 1 species
AUCAGAAUACUUUUUAUAGUCCGAGAUUACUCUGACAUCCAACGGCUGUUUUGCCAGACAAGCUGGGGUCCCACGGCCCCAGCUUGUCUGGCAAAACAGCCGUUGGACGUCAGAGUAAUCUCGGACUAACUUUUUUAGUGAAAAAAACAUAGUCUACCGGCUCCUUUUUGAAAUUGAAUGGUUGUUCCCUGAAUAAUAUUAUUAUUAGACUUUCUUUGUCUGUAUUUGUAUUUAUCUUCUUUUUCGAUUAUAGAUGAGGCCCCUCAUGGGGGGGGGGGGGG